rnacentral:rRNA from 1 species
UACGAAGGGGGCGAGCGUUGUUCGGAUUUACUGGGCGUAAAGCGUGCGUAGACGGUCAUGUAAGUCGGGUGUGAAAGCCCCGGGCUCAACCUGGGAAUUGCAUUCGAGACUGCAUGGCUAGGAUGCGGAAGAGGGAAGCGGAAUUUCCGGUGUAGCGGUGAAAUGCGUAGAUAUCGGAAGGAACACCAGUGGCGAAAGCGGCUUCCUGGUCCAGCAUCGACGUUCAGGCACGAAAGCGUGGGGAGCAAACAGG